AGGGCGGGACACGUGAUAUCCUGUCUGAAUAUGGGGGGACCAUCCUCCAAGGCUAAAUACUACUGACUGACCGAUAGUGAACCAGUACCGUGAGGGAAAGGCGAAAAGAACCCCUGUGAGGGGAGUGAAAUAGAACCUGAAACCGUGUACGUACAAGCAGUAGGAGCAGGCUUUGUCCUGUGACUGCGUACCUUUUGUAUAAUGGGUCAGCGACUUAUAUUCAGUGGCAAGGUUAACCAUCUAGGGGAGCCGUAGGGAAACCGAGUCUUAACUGGGCGUUCAGUCUCUGGAUAUAGACCCGAAACCAGGUGAUCUAGCCAUGGGCAGGUUGAAGGUUGAGUAACAUCAACUGGAGGACCGAACCGACUAAUGUUGAAAAAUUAGCGGAUGACUUGUGGCUAGGGGUGAAAGGCCAAUCAAACCUGGAGAUAGCUGGUUCUCCCCGAAAGCUAUUUAGGUAGCGCCUCGGACGAAUACUACUGGGGGUAGAGCACUGUUAAGGCUAGGGGGUCAUCCCGACUUACCAACCCUUUGCAAACUCCGAAUACCAGUAAGUACUAUCCGGGAGACACACGGCGGGUGCUAACGUCCGUCGUGGAGAGGGAAACAACCCAGACCGCCAGCUAAGGUCCCAAAUUACUACUAAGUGGGAAACGAUGUGGGAAGGCUCAGACAGCCAGGAUGUUGGCUUAGAAGCAGCCAUCAUUUAAAGAAAGCGUAAUAGCUCACUGGUCGAGUCGGCCUGCGCGGAAGAUGUAACGGGGCUAAGUAGUAAACCGAAGCUGCGGCAAUACUCUUUGAGUAUUGGGUAGGGGAGCGUUCUGUAAGCGGUUGAAGGUGUGUGGUAACGCAUGCUGGACGUAUCAGAAGUGCGAAUGCUGACAUGAGUAACGAUAAAGGGGGUGAAAAACCUCCUCGCCGGAAGACCAAGGGUUCCUGUCCAACGUUAAUCGGGGCAGGGUAAGUCGACCCCUAAGGCGAGGCCGAAAGGCGUAGUCGAUGGGAAACGGGUUAAUAUUCCCGUACUUCUUACAAUUGCGAUGGGGGGACGGAGAAGGCUAGGUGGGCCUGGCGACGGUUGUCCAGGUUCAAGUGCGUAGGCUUAAGAGUUAGGUAAAUCCGGCUCUUUUUAAGGCUGAGACACGACGUCGAGCACCUACGGGUGUGAAGUCAUUGAUGCCAUGCUUCCAGGAAAAGCCUCUAAGCUUCAGAUUGUAAGGAAUCGUACCCCAAACCGACACAGGUGGUCGGGUAGAGAAUACCAAGGCGCUUGAGAGAACUCGGGUGAAGGAACUAGGCAAAAUGGUACCGUAACUUCGGGAGAAGGUACGCUCUUGAUGGUGAAGUCCCUCGCGGAUGGAGCUGACGAGAGUCGCAGAUACCAGGUGGCUGCAACUGUUUAUUAAAAACACAGCACUGUGCAAAAUCGUAAGAUGACGUAUACGGUGUGACGCCUGCCCGGUGCCGGAAGGUUAAUUGAUGGGGUUAGACUUCGGUCGAAGCUCUUGAUCGAAGCCCCGGUAAACGGCGGCCGUAACUAUAACGGUCCUAAGGUAGCGAAAUUCCUUGUCGGGUAAGUUCCGACCUGCACGAAUGGCGUAAUGAUGGCCACGCUGUCUCCACCCGAGACUCAGUGAAAUUGAAAUCGCUGUGAAGAUGCAGUGUACCCGCGGCUAGACGGAAAGACCCCGUGAACCUUUACUACAGCUUGGCACUGAACAUUGACCCUACAUGUGUAGGAUAGGUGGGAGGCUUUGAAGCACGUACGCCAGUAUGUGUGGAGCCGUCCUUGAAAUACCACCCUU
rnacentral:rRNA from 1 species